rnacentral:tRNA from 1 species
GCCCGGCUAGCUCAGUUGGUAGAGCAUUCGACUCUUAUGAAGAGUUCCCAUUUGCGAUCGAAUUGUCGUGGGUUCGAGCCCCACGUUGGGCG